GAAAAUGCCAGCAUGGAUGAUUAGAAAUGUAAGCUCUGUAUUCAAAACCAGGCAUCAGGGGAUAAUUGUGACAGGGGCCAAUUCAGUAGAAAAUGAUUUUUCUUGUGCCACAUAUUGUAGUCAAGGGAUAAUUUUGUUUUUGUUUUGUUUUUCCCCAGGGCAGCCCCAUGAAUAUGAAGAUACUUGGAAAGUCUUUACUACAGAGCAUGAUUUCAGGAAUGAUGAAACAAUAAACGAGAAUCUGGUAUUAAUAAUCUGUGGGUUUUAAAUUUUAUGCCAUUCAAAGAUGUGAGGACCAGUCAUUUCAUGUAUCCUACAAAGUGGAACAUGCCGUGGGACACACAGAUUCAUGAUUCAUGAGGAGGUUGGAUGUCCGACAGUAAACAUUCACACACACAAUUUGAGUCUUUGGUGCUUACUGGCUGUACUUUGAUAAUACCUCAUCAAUUCAAACCUCUCAAAGCCAGAUCUUGGAAUGAAACAGGUUGAAAAGACUGAGAGCUGAAGCUUGCCUUUGCAUAGUUGACAGCCUUUGCUCAGCAAACUAAGAGUCGCUCAUAGUUGAUGACCAAAUAAAAUGCAGAGGAUUUGAGAAGCACAAAAUAGGGAGGGAGAAACCAUCAAGAGGCUAAAUACGAUUUAUUUAAGUUCCCCAUCAGAACAGACUUCCUACAGGCCUCAACACAGCAAUGUGUUAUUAACCCACAGUAUGCUCUAGAAAGGACAUAUGAGCUGCCUUUCUUGUCAAAUAUCAUCUUCUUCCAGAGCACCCCACCCAUUCAUCUUUUGUAAAGAUCAGACUUGGAAUAAAACUGCGUGAAGAGAUUUUUGUUUUUGUUUUUUUGAGACAGAGUCUCACUCUGUCGUCCAGGCUGGAGUGCAGUGGCGUGAUCUUGGCUCACUGCAACCUCGACUUCCUGAGUUCAAGCAAUUCUUAUGCCUCAGACUCCCAAGUAGCUGGGAUUACAGGCACCCGCCACCAUGCCUGAUUAAUUUUUGUAUUUUUAGUAGAGAUGGGGUUUCACCAUGUUGGCUAGGCUGGUCUUGAACUCCUGGUCUCAGGCCAUCCGCCCACCUCAGCCUCCCAAAGUGCUGGGAUUACAGGCAUGAGCCACUGUACCUGGCCUGCAAAGAGAUAUUUUAAUAAAGACAGACCAGGAAAGUUGCUCCAUUAUCUCAGUUAAGAAGGAAAGAAGGAAAAGGAACAGUUUUCUUCCCAUGGGCACACAAAGUAUUUCUGCUAGGAAGACUUCAGACUACAUCUCUCCACUUGUCCUAAGUAGAAUUUGCAAGGCCUUCUCUCCACAACUACUUACCCUUGCAACUAUCUGAUUGUAGAGAUGGAGUGAUGAGCUUCGACUGUCUGUCCCCACCCAAAUCUCAUCUUGAGUUGUAAUCUCCAAGUGUGGAAGCAGGGAAGCGAUUGGAUCGUGGGCGCAGUUUCCCCCAUGCUGUUCUCGUGAUAGUGAGUGAGUUCUCACGAGAUCUGAUGGUUUUAUAAGUGUCUGGCAUUUCCUCUGCUUGCACUUCUCUCUCCUGCCGCCAUGUGAAGAAGAUCCUUGCUUCCCCUUCACCUUCCACCACGAUUGUAAGUUUCCUAAGGCUUCCCCAGCCAUGGGGAAUUGUGAGUCAAUGAAAUCUCUUUCCUUUAUAAAUGACCCAGUCUUGGGCAUGUCUUUAUGGCAGUGUGAAAACGGACUAAUAAUGGAGCAUGAUGAAUGUGGCUGAAACAUUCUGCAUCUCGUACUUUGAUAAAUUUACCUGUAUAUCAGGCAGAAUGUUCUCUGGUCAGACCAGUACUUGGAGCAAAAGAGGGAAGAGGAAAGGCCCACCUGGGCCCUGAUAUCCUGGGACACACAGCUUGGUGGCCUGGUGGCCUGGCUUAUACCUGAUUCCUCCCCAGAGGUAAUUUGUCAUUGUGUCUGGUCUCGUUCUCAAGAAAUGUAAGUGCUGUAGUGAAAAGCUGCUGUCAAAUGCACACCUGUGUGUGUGCUUUCAGGCUGACGCUGGACACACUAAGGGCAUGAAGUGCCUUGUGGAAUAGAAGAGUGUUCAGUACAGCACCGAGAAGCCAGAGACUUGGUCUCCAACAAGACUUCUGAACAUUUGGAACAUGGUUCCCUUCCCUCUUAUGGCAUAAAUGGGACUACAAAAUGCUUCUCAAUGAAUACAUGCCACUUUUCCUCCUUUGCUUUGUGAUGGCAGUAUUUCAUGGAAAAGAAUCCUGUCAUAUCAUAUAUCUAUGUGGAUCUUUCCAGUGAAUUAAUUGUGCAAAUUCCUUCUCUGCUAGAGAAAUAAAUACUUCUGCAAAACAUUUACCUUACCUAAUAGUCUAAUCUUAGGCCAACAGAGCAGCAACAUCUGCCAAACAGAAAACCCCUGAUAAUCCAGGAUUAAAUAACAUUAAUAUUAUUUUUUGUAGGCCAGCAGGAUUGUCCAGAGGACCAGUGAUAAUAAGGAUUUAUGAGGGAGGAGAGGCCCUGCAGAAGAUAACACUACAAUAACAUUCUGUGUUUAUAUUGGGCAAAGGGGACAGGACACAUUUUCUACAAGCGCAAACUUCAGGAUGGAAAUGUUAAUACCUUGUAUUUGUAGAGUGCAUUGGAGCUUGUGAGUCACCUUCACACACAAGAACUCAUCUAUUAGGCUCCUCAUCUGUGAAGGUUCCCAGGUUCCUGAUCCCAGAAGAUGUCCCUGCGGUGGUUCCACCUUCCACCAGCUUCUGCCAGAUCCUGGACUCCAGGAACACUGCCCCCUUCAGGCCAACUUUUUGGACUUCCUCACUGUCUUCUGAGCCCCCAGGUCUUCCAACACUUUUGCAGCCACUUCCCUGUAUUAAAUGCCCUCUGUUUGAAAUAUCUAGAAUAAUUUUCAUUUUCAUGGUUGGACUGAUUCACCACUUUCCCUCCCACUCAAAUUCAGUAAGAUCUACUAUCUUAUGACAGAUAUCUACCCACUCAUUGCUUCCCGAUGCAGACAUAAACUUGGAUCCCAGGCCGUGGAAGAGCAGGUCAAGGUUUGCUCCUUAGAAUUGUUGCUUUGGUGACAUGUGGAGAAGGAUGGUGGUUGCUGAGACUAGAGGAGACUUGUUGAGAGACAAUUGCAAUGAUUCAAGAGGGAGAGGACAAAGGUGUAAAGUCAGACUGUUUCACUGCAGAGGUAGAGUGGGGAAAGGGACACGAGAGAUGCAGAAGAGGCAGAAUCAGGUCCCUGAUUGGAUGGGGCAUUUUGGGAAGAUGAAGGAGGCUGGAAUGAUUCCCAGGUUCCUCCAGAGUGAAUGGAUGGCACUUGUGUUCUUGACUGAGCUUGAGGACACAAGAAGAGGGGCAGCAGAUCUAGAUGGCUAGGAAGAUCAUGAGUUUGUGGCACGUUGAGUUUGGGGGGCAUGUUGUACUCAGGAAAGGGCAGGAGAGAGAUGGUUUAAUGUCACAGCAUAGGUGAUAAGAGAUCUAUGGAUAUAUAGGUGAAAUCCCCGGGAGAUGUGGAUAGAAAAGAGUUAAAGGCAGAACAUGGAAGAGCCUCAACAUGGACAGAGAAGGCAGAGGACUGAGUUGGAACAGCCCGAGAGCUCAGAGGAGAGCCAGGGAAGAGCAACAUCAUGGAGGCCAAGGGAGAGCAUGGUUCAAAAAGGGAAUGGUCACUGUGUCAAAGCCUGCUUUUAAAGCAAACUAAAUAUGGCCUGAGAAGGACUCCAUACUUCUAUAUUUGAGUCCUUGUGGAUGAACUGUAACCUAGCUUAAUAGGCAGACAAAAUUGAAACCCUAACUUCACAGUAUGCACCUGUAACAAUAGCUAAGUCUUGGCCAAUCCCAGCGGCCAUACUUCAACCAUUCAUACACUGCUGAGUGUUCAAACUGUGUUCAAAUAAGUCAAAUGCCAGCCUGUAACCAAUCCAACCACUCUGUACCUCACUUCCAAUUUCUGUACGUCAUUUCUCUCUUUUUUGUCUAUAAAUCUUCUUUCACCACGUGGCUGUGCUUGAGUCUCUGUGAAUCUGCUGUGAUUCUGGGGGCUGCCUGAUUCACAUAUCAUUCAUUGCUCAAUUAAACUGCUUUAAAUUUAAUUCGACUGCAGUUUUUCUUUUAUCACUGCACAAUGGCCAAGAAGGAUCAGUCACAGGAAUUGACUGCUAGGAGGAUAUGUACAGAUGUGGGUAAGUGACAGAUGUAGAUACUCAAGCUUGAAUAAGUUUAUGCCUGAUGGCUACACACACACACACUCUCUCUCUCUCUCUGUGUCUCACACAAACACACACACACAGACACCUGUUUAGAGUUAUAUUUUAGGCAAGAAAGAUGGUAUCUAUUAUACAUCAUCUGGUUGCUCUAGUCUAGAGGAAAAGAGUGAGCAGAUUUUGGUUGGCUUUUUCAUUUUCUUCUCUACACACAUGUAAC
rnacentral:lncRNA from 10 species